UUAGUGGUUAAGCACAUGGAAGACUUUUACAUCCAUGUGUGACCAACAAUGACUUACUGUAUACUUAUCAAUACGGCCAAAAUCUCUUCUCCCACUUCUCACUUUAUAUGACCUCGCCCUUUUACAGCUCCAUUGCUUUAGAGAUUGAAAUUGGUGGGACUCUGUCAAUUUGAAGGUUCAAAUUGAUAGUUGUUCAACUUUACAGGGACAACAAAUCAAGACAGCUGUGUAUGGUGAUGACAUUGGACAUUAUGUAGGCAAAUUGAUACUAUUGGACACCUAUCUGAUCUCCGCUGAGCAGGAAAAUCUAGUUUCUGCUCACUUUAUGGAACGACUUCAAGUAAAUUAAAGGGACAGAAUUGCAAGCUAAAUUGGAAAAGAAUGAUUACCCAGUGAUAGUUGGAAGGAACAUAGGAAUUUCUUCUUAUCAGGGUUUAUUAUUGCAGACCAGAUUCAACAGAAUAAUACGCAUUGAUCCUACCUACCCACAGGCAUUGAAGCUCCUCAUCUAGUGAAUGAUCCAGUCUCUCUCAAUAGCGGGUAUCUAUUAUUCGGAAUCAGGGAGAAUGGAUUAGCAAAGAUGAUAUGUUGAUUAUUCAGGUUACCUCUACUUCCAGAUUUAGAUGAACUAUCUUCUCAAUUUUUUGUAACUUUUUUCUACUGGAGGGAGAUUUUUUUGGGGCUUUGAAUCUCGACAGUUUUACUCAGUACAAAGGACCAGUAAUUCAAAUUUAGAGAGUAGGAAGUAACAAAUGAUAUGUGGGUUUAGCAGUUUUUUUGGGCCACCUAAGAGUUCCUGAUUUAGCGGCAAGUGUAUAUGCCACGUUCGGGUAUCUCAGUAUUGUGGUAUGCCAUAAUUUUUUGAAGUGCAGAAUCUUGGCUGGACUCCAAUUCUAUCAUCCUACCGUUAUAAAUUUAGAAUAUGUUUGUGAUGUAACUAAAAUUCAUCGUCGGUUAGGUUUUUUGGUGUAUUGUGACGACUACUAGAACAAUGCUUGCAAUGCUUGAAAACAAUUUAACUGCCUAACAUGCUUGUGCUUGUAAAUAUUAUUGAGAUAAUAUAUAUAAUAGUAUGCUAUUAAGCCUGAA